GAUGAACGCUGGCGGCGUGCUUAACACAUGCAAGUCGAGCGAGAAGUUUUGAAAAGAUUCUUCGGAUGAAAUUUAAAAUGGCAAGCGGCGGACGGGUGAGUAACGCGUAGGCAACCUGCCCCAUACAAAGGGAUAGCAUUUGGAAACGAAUAUUAAUACCUUAUGAAACUUAACUAGUGCAUGCUAGGUAGGUCAAAGAUUUAUCGGUAUGGGAUGGGCCUGCGUCUGAUUAGCUAGUUGGUGAGGUAACGGCUCACCAAGGCGACGAUCAGUAGCCGACCUGAGAGGGUGAACGGCCACAUGGGAACUGAGACACGGUCCAAACUCCUACGGGAGACAGCAGUGGGGAAUAUUGCACAAUGGGGGAAACCCUGAUGCAGCAACGCCGCGUGAACGAUGAAGGCCUUUGGGUCGUAAAGUUCUGUUCUAGGUGAUGAAAACUGACAGUAACCUAGGAGAAAGCCCCGGCUAACUCCGUG
rnacentral:rRNA from 1 species